AAAGGAAUUGACGGGGGCCCUUCCCCUCUUCUUCCCCUUUUUUUUCCUUCUCUUCUCCGCGAGGAACCUUACCUGGGCUUAAAUGUAGAGUGCAUUUUCUCGAGAUAGAAAUUCCCUUCGGGGCUUUCUGCAAGGUGCUGCAUGGUUGUCGUCAGCUCGUGCCGUGAGGUGUCGGGUUAAGUCCCCUAACGAGCGCAACCCUUAUCGUUAGUUGCCAGCUGGUAAAGCAGGGGACUCUAGCGAAACUGCCACCGUAAGGUGAGAGGAAGGUGGGGAUGACGUCAAAUCAGCACGGCCCUUAUGUCCAGGGCUACACACGUGUUACAAUGGCCGGUACAGAGGGCUGCUACCUGGUGACAGGAUGCUAAUCUCGAAAACCGGUCUCAGUUCGGAUCGAAGUCUGCAACUCGACUUCGUGAAGCCGGAUUCGCUAGUAAUCGCGCAUCAGCAACGGCGCGGUGAAUACGUUCCCGGGCCUUGUACACACCGCCCGU
rnacentral:rRNA from 1 species